rnacentral:rRNA from 1 species
GACUAGAGUGUGGCAGAGGGGGGUAGAAUCCACGUGUAGCAGUGAAAUGCGUAGAGAUGUGGAGGAAUACCGAUGGCGAAGGCAGCCCCCUGGGCCAACACUGACGCUCAUGCACGAAAGCGUGGGGAGCAAACAGGAUUAGAUACCCUGGUAGUCCACGCCCUAAACGAUGUCAACUAGUUGUUGGGGAAGGAGACUUCCUUAGUAACGCAGCUAACGCGUGAAGUUGACCGCCUGGGGAGUACGGUCGCAAGAUUAAAACUCAAAGGAAUUGACGGGGACCCGCACAAGCGGUGGAUUAUGUGGAUUAAUUCGAUGCAACGCGAAAAACCUUACCUACCCUUGACAUGCCAGGAACUUUCCAGAGAUGGAUUGGUGCCCGAAAGGGAACCUGGACACAGGUGCUGCAUGGCUGUCGUCAGCUCGUGUCGCGAGAUGUUGGGUUAAGUCCCGCAACGAGCGCAACCCUUGCCAUUAAUUGCCAUCAUUCAGUUGGGCACUUUAAUGGGACUGCCGGUGGUAAACCGGAGGAAGGUGGGGAUGACGUCAAGUCCUCAUGGCCCUUAUGGGUAGGGCUUCACACGUAAUACAAUGGUCGGUACAGAGGGUUGCCAACCCGCGAGGGGGAGCUAAUCCCAGAAAGCCGAUCGUAGUCCGGAUUGUUCUCUGCAACUCGAGAGCAUGAAGUCGGAAUCGCUAGUAAUCGCGGAUCAGCAUGUCGCGGUGAUACGUUCCCGGGUCUUGUACACACCGCCCGUCACACCAUGGGAGUGGAAUCUGGCAGAAGUAGGUAG